rnacentral:rRNA from 1 species
GUCCUCUUGUUUUUUAUAGGAGGUCCGACCUGCCCAGUGAAAUUGUUUUUAACGGCCGCGGUAUUCUGACCGUGCAAAGGUAGCAUAAUCAUUAGUCUUUUAAUGGGAGGCUGGAAUGAAAGGUUUGACGAAAUAUUUACUGUCUCAGUAUAAUAAGUUAAAAUUUAGAUUUUGAGUCAUAAGACUUAGAUUUUUUUGGAAGACGAGAAGACCCUAUAGAGCUUUAGGGUUAUUUUUUUAAUCUUGUUUUUUUUAUUCUUUUAGAUUAUUAAUUAGAUCCUUUUGUUGGGGUGACAGAGGAUAUAUACACAACUUUUUUAUUUUUUAUACAUUUAUUUAUGAUUAUUAGAUCCAUUAUUAUUGAUUGUUAGAUAAAGUUACCUUAGGGAUAACAGCGUAAUCUUCCUUCAGAGUUCAAAUUUACAGGAAGGCUUGCGACCUCGAUGUUGGAUUAAGAUAAUAAUUAGGUGUAGUAGCUUAAAUUAAUAGGUCUGUUCGACCUUUAAAUUCUU